GGAAAAUAUUGGCCCAACACCAUAUUUGCACUCGGCUCCUUCGCCUGCCAUUUCCUCUUCAUCCUCACACCCCUUCCUCUCACCCUGGAGUCCCUUUUCCCAUCACCCUGACAACCUGUCCCUCACUUCAUCUUCAGAAGCUCUUUUUGUGGCCAGGGGGACAGAAUGGAUGGCGGGACAGGAAACCUCACUGUCCUCCUUCUCUGAUCCCCUCGCUGAGGAGCCGCCUCCCUUGGCUCAGACAUCUUCAUCCGGGUCACAAGAUGUGAGCUUUUCUCCCUUUAUUCUGCCAUCUCUUUCUCUUGCAGCUUCCGUGGCACCUCCUUUCCUUCAACCGUCUGCCACCUAUCUCGUCUCCUCUCUCGGCCUCUCAUCUUUAAUCCCUCCUUCUCCUCCUUCCUUGCUCCCUGGCUGGUUGGCAGUGUCAGCCAGCCAGGGAGAGGCAAAAAUGGUCUCCUUGUUGCCUGCCGUUGGCUUCCACGAGCCGACAAUGACCCAAAGCCCGCUGAUCCACCAGUUAAAGUCCUUCCAAAGAUCCACCACGUACCUGUCAACCCGGCAGCUCACCACACACGGGCAGUCACUUCCCCUUUACAAAGCCGCCUCCCUCCCUCAUGAGGGAUUAAAACCCAGCCACUCACAUCCACUCAUUUCUGCUCAAGAGAAGGACGAGGUCUGGCAACCGCGUGCAAACAACUCACAAACAGCAGGCGCUUCCAAAUUUGUCACCGAUAAAGUAUUAUCGCCCUCAAAUAAUGUCGCUGCAGCUGUAAAGCUGUCUGCUUUAUUUGACCCUGCGGAAGUUGUUCCAAAGAUACACCCAGCGGACGAACAGGCCUCUGCUAUGGAACCGCUUUCUCCAUCGGUGAGCACCAGGGACGACGACCCUCCUUUGAAAGCUCCAGAAGCUCAAUCGCUUCCCCCCCCCCCCCCCCCCUUUGCUGCAGCAUCAACAAAUCCCCCAGGGGCCGCGAUUACUCAGAACCCCCUGCACACUUCUGGCUUCAAUCUUCCUCCAUCCGCGCCAGCCUCCGAACCCCCCACCACGUCCUCGGCUCAGGCCUUGAUCUCUGGGGUGGGGGAGCUCCCCCCUCCAGGCGGAGGCAACCACUUAACAGACACAGCAGGCCUAGAAUACGACUAUGGGACCGUCAAAGACUCCAAAAAGACAAAUGCCACCAAGACUAAAAAUGCUUCAGCUCUGAUGGAGAAUGGCGGCAUGGAAGCCUCUCGGGGGGCCACAACUCCACAUCUCACUACAGACUCGGUAACAAAACCCGGUUCCAUCCCGAGUGUGUGGAAUCCCGGCAGGGAGGUCCACCGUUCCCCUACCCCCCCUCACCAGUCCGUAGCCACAAAGAGCCCCCCUGCGGCGGCUACCGGCGGCGGCCUCACAAAGGUCACAGUGCGCCUCACGACCGAGCCCCCGCCCGAGCCCACGUUGCCAUGCCAAUGUAAACAACGCUUUCAUUUUACAUGUCUGUGUGGACUGUCAUCGGGGAACAGUAUGUCAUGCAGUAACAAAGAACCGUAG
ensembl:lncRNA